CUACGGGGGGCUCCAGCAGGGAAUCUUCGGCAAUGGACGGAAGUCUGACCGAGCAACGCCGCGUGAGUGAAGAAGGUUUUCGGAUCGUAAAGCUCUGUUGUAAGAGAAGAACGAGUGUGAGAGUGGAAAGUUCACACUGUGACGGUAUCUUACCAGAAAGGGACGGCUAACUACGUGCCAGCAGCCGCGGUAAUACGUAGGUCCCGAGCGUUGUCCGGAUUUAUUGGGCGUAAAGCGAGCGCAGGCGGUUAGAUAAGUCUGAAGUUAAAGGCUGUGGCUUAACCAUAGUACGCUUUGGAAACUGUUUAACUUGAGUGCAGAAGGGGAGAGUGGAAGUCCAUGUGUAGCGGUGAAAUGCGUAGAUAUAUGGAGGAACACCGGUGGCGAAGGCGGCUCUCUGGUCUGUAACUGACGCUGAGGCUCGAAAGCGUGGGGAGCAAACAGGAUUAGAUACCCGGGUAGUC
rnacentral:rRNA from 1 species